UACGACUACAUAUCAGGCAUAUCAAUAAGCGGAGGAAAAGAAACUAACUAGGAUUCCCUCAGUAACGGCGAGUGAAGCGGGAAGAGCUCAAAUUUGAAAUCUUCAAGGUUCUACCUUGACGAAUUGUAGUUUAAAGAAGUGUUUUCUGUUGAAGUUUUGGUAAAAGUUCUUUGGAAUAGGACAUCAUAGAGGGUGAGAAUCCCGUAUUUGACCAUUAUUUUCCAGCUGUGUGAUACACUUUCAAAGAGUCGGAUUGUUUGGGAAUGCAGUCCAAAAUGGGUGGUAAAUUUCAUCUAAAGCUAAAUAUUGGCGAGAGACCGAUAGCGAACAAGUACCGUGAGGGAAAGAUGAAAAGAACUUUGAAAAGAGAGUUAAACAGUACGUGAAAUUGUCAAAAGGGAAGCGUUUGACACCAGUGUUGUUUUCUCGAAAAUCAAUUAAAAAAAGUUGGAUUUUGUGUUGUAUUGACCUUAACAGCUUGCUUCACUCUUUUCCAGCUUUUUUUAAUGCACUUUUCGUUUAACAAGUCAACAUCAGUUUCUUUUGUUGUAAAAGGGUCAUUGGAAGGUGGCUUUCUCUUCGGAGAAAGUGUUUAUAGCCUUUUAUCUCUGCAAUCGGAGAGACUGAGGUCUGCAGCGUAGAUCCUUCGGGGUUAGAUACAUUGGUGCUAAGCUACUAGCUUGUCAUAGACAACUUGUUGACUAUGUUCAGUCAUUGUAGCUUACUCGCUGAUGCUAUUUUACCUACGCUUAGGAUGUUGAGCGCAUGUCUCUCUCU
rnacentral:rRNA from 1 species